rnacentral:rRNA from 1 species
GCUAUCGGGGUGGGACUAAGACAUGCGAGUUGAGCGUCUCUAGCUAUGUUGAGACGCAGCAUACGGCUCAGUAACACGUGGCUAACCUACCCUCAGGACGGGGACAAACCCGGGAAACUGGGGCUAAUAUCCGAUAGGCGAGGAAUCCUGGAAUGGUUCUUCACCCAAAGGGCAUUGGAAACAUGCUUUCUCUGUCGCCUGGGGAUGGGGCCGCGACCGAUCAGGUUGUUGGUGAGGUAAUGGCUCACCAAGCCUUUAACCGGUACGGGCCAUGAGAGUGGUAGCCCGGAGAUGGGUACUGAGACAAGGACCCAGGCCCUACGGGGCGCAGCAGUCGCGAAAACUCCGCAAUGCACGAAAGUGUGACGGGGCUACCCCGAGUGCCGUCCGCUGAGGAUGGCUUUUCCUUGGUGUAACUAGCCGGGGGAAUAAGGAGAGGGCAAGACUGGUGUCAGCCGCCGCGGUAAUACCAGCUCUCCGAGUGGUAGGGAUGAUUAUUGGGCUUAAAGCGUCCGUAGCCGGCUUAGCAAGUUUCCUGUUAAAUUCAGCGACCUAAUCGUUGAGCCGCGGGAAAUACUACUAGGCUAGGAGGCGGGAGAGGUCGACGGUACUUCUGGGGUAGGGGUGAAAUCCUAUAAUCCCGGGAGGACCACCAGUGGCGAAGGCUGUCGACUA